rnacentral:lncRNA from 1 species
AGGAUAAGCGACAUCGGGGCAGGUCCUGGGUAGAGUCCAGGUUGGCGGUUCCUGGGGCAGGGCCAGGAUAGGGCGAUCCUGGAAGCUGGGCUUCGGAAGCGUCCAGCGCCACCCGUCUGGGGCCCGAAAGGAGGGAGCUUUCCCUCUGUCCCCCAGCCUUUGGACUGUCACUAAACAAGCCAUUCGUUCAUCAAAUACUUUUUAAGCGCCUACCAUGUGCCUGACAAGGGAGAUGUAACGGUGAGAAAAACUAGGUGUGGUCCAGGCCCUUCAGGGGCUCAGGUGCUCGUGGAAGAAGUGGACAUUGAAGUACUUAUCACACAAAUGAGGAUAAAAGUACGAUAACGAUAUCUACCACGAAGCUGUUGUUCCCCACCAGAACCAAAUGAGCGCAAGAUCUGACAAAGAAAAAAAAAGGUUCAUCUUUUAUUCCUCCAAACACUUUCAUUUAAAUCAAGAGGAUGGGAUGUGGUUAUUGCUGUGUUUUUAGACAGAAUCAACGGUUUCUGGGUCUGAGAUGUUGCAUACACCUUCUCAGUCCCUGUAUCCUGAGAUGGAGUCACCUGAGAAUCCACAGCAAGUCCUAACCAGGGAUGGGUCUGGGUGAUUAAGGAAGGUUGGCUUCAGAACUGGGCCAGGGGCACUGCUUUGCUUUUGCUGUUUUGAUCAGCUCUCUGCCUGAAGGAGACAAGAAAAACCAACGGGAACAGGUUAGUUAUACUGAUAAAUCCUGGGCUUAUUUUAUUAACUCACAUAAUAGCUAUUGUCUUUCCUCCAAGGAGCAAAAGGGCAUAUACGGUCAAUGCCAUAGUAAGUAACACUGUAUUAUGUUAUACUAAAAUAUUAAUAAAUCUAGGUUGGUUCAGUCUUUCCUGAGUCCACAGAUUGGAAGCAGAUUGAGGAAGGACGCUAGUGGACCACAGAGCUGAGCCAUGCACACAGAAGAAAUCUUUUUUUCUUUUUUUCUGGAGACGGAGUUUUGCUCUCUAGUUGCCCAGGCUGGAGUGC